rnacentral:lncRNA from 1 species
AUCCGCGGGAGUGGGGUAGGAAUAGAGCCCUGAGGGACAGGGACUAUGGCGACGCGGGGGUGGGAGGUACAGAGAGGGGUGUCGAGCCUGGAGCAGGGCUAUGGCAGGGACACUCACUGGGGCAUGGGCAGCGACAGGCGAAGAAGGUUCAGGGCCAGGUGGACAGUCAUGUCUCAAUUCAGGAAAGAGAAGUGCAGGCAGGAUUGGGUGCGGGAGAGCCAGGCCCAUCACCAGCACCGAGUUAGGGGUCUGCAGAGCUGAUUGGAGGGUGGGUUUGGAGGGGCAAGGAAAACAGCAGCAGGCACUCCUGGAGUGGCCGCCUGUCCCCCUGCUCUCAGAGGGUACCUCCAGCUCAGAAGGACCCAGUCUGAGUCCAGGGUUUUCCGUGGAGAGGAUGGAGAAGCCUCAGUCCGCCAGCCCUCUCCCCAGUAGAAAUGCAGAAAGCUCACAGCUGGAAUUAGGGAGAGGAUGGGGAUACUAGUCAGUGAGCCAGCCUCCCCCGACCUAAGGCUAGAGGCCCAGAGAUUGUUUUCCCAUUGACUCUUCAUUUUCCACUGCCCAAGGAUGAACUCAAACACAGGAGAUAGGAGAUGAUUUGGAUGAAGUGAUAAAGAAAAGGCUUCACUCCAAGAAAAAAAAGAAAAAGAAAAGAAAAUGAAAAGACCUGCAGGAGCAAGAAGCCCUUUCCAGGGUGUGCUUAUGAGGAAGAAGGGAAUUAUGGUGAUAGCUACCACUUAAGCACUUACCUUGUUCCAGGUGCAAUAACGGUGUUUUACAGGCAUUAUUUUAUUUAGUCCCCCAAAAUAAAGCUAUUACGUACCUUUUUAUCAUUACCCCUAAUAAAACUAAUGAUUAGACUGUUUAAAAACCUACCUGGGUCAUACGGACAGUUACCAGUGGACCCAAGAUUCAAACCUUUGUAUUUCAGAGUCCAGAAUAUAUAUUUUUACCCCUACUUUGUAGGAUAAGAAAAUGCAGCCCAGUCAACCAGCCAAGGUCUACCAUUUGCUAUAGGUGUGUGGCCUUCGGCAAGUUAUCUAAUCUUUUCCUAUCUCAGCUCCUUCCUCUAAAAUAUCAGGAUAAUGGUAUCCACCUCUAUGGGUCGUGGGGAAGAAUAAACAGCAUGAUAUGCAUAAAGUCUCUUGCACAACCUAGCUGCUCAAUAAAUGGUAGCUUUUAUGCUUGUCUUAAAAAUAACAUUAAGUUAAUGUGAAAUAGUCAUUUUUGUAGGCCAAAAGUGGUCAUAUAAUAACAAUUUCAUAUGGUUCAACCUAAUAAUAAUCAGGCGACACGAGAUGACCAAGGUUUCACAUAAUAAUGGUAAUUCAGUUCUGCACAUUAGCUCUCCCUGCCAUCAUCCAUCCGGUUCAUAGAAGUGGACAGGAUAUGAGGAAGGCUUCAGUGAUCACUGUCCUAGCCAGAUUCUGCCCCAGGACCACAAGCUUAAACUCCAGAUGCCCAAGCCCCGGCUUAUAAAUGGUUCCCCUCGCCAUGUUUCCCAAGCUGUGGAGGAGUGGGAAGGUUGAGUGGAGGAAGGGAUAUCUGCCUCCAACCACGCUAGACCCGACCUGCUGUCACCGCCCGCCCCAGCUGGAUCCAGAAUGGAAACCUGGAAUAGCAGGCAAAGCCACCCCCGACACUCCAUGUUCCUCCCCAGAACCAGCUCCCUCUCCUACCAGCUGAAUUUUCAGGACAGAGCUGCCAGGUGGCCAGUCCACAGGUGGAAGUGGAAGGAGAUUGAAAGGACCUGGGAAGAGGUUCAUUGGUCAUGGUGCCUGGCUGGUGCUUUCCAAAGCCAAGGUUGCUGGUGUGUGCCUGACAGUUCCAUAGGAAGUAGGGACUUCUGGGAGGGAGGAGGAGGUGGAAGGUGCCCUGGUCAGCAAAGUGGGGUCCAAGCCUUCUAGUCCCAACUGGGCACAUCACUUCAUCUCUGAGAGUCUCAUUUUCUUCAGCCACAACUAAUGAACAAAGUCUCCUUCAGCUCCCAAAUCCGAAUAGCUUUAAGGAUAUCCCCUGCUUGCUGCUUGUUAUUAUGUCAGGCCCUGUGCUAAGCGCUUUGCAUAUAUUACCUCAUUUAAUCCCCAUUUUGGAAGUCAGGAAACAGCCUCUGAGACAUUUUGUAACUUAGCUAAGGUCACUCAGUUGACAAAUAGUGAAGUGAUGGGAUUCAGUAGCCUCUGCUGCUAGCCACUGCCUCAGGGCAGGUAAUUAUUUCUAUGAAUUCAGCAGGGCCAAGCCAACUAGACUAAGCAAAAGAAAUGAGGAUCCAAAAAAAUUCAUGCGCUUUUUCAUGCGCGGUGAAUGCAGGAAAAGUCAUAUAUAUAUAUGGCUAUGUAAAUCAGCAACUGCAAUAUUUGAAUCAGCAUGAAUAAAAAACCAUUCCUCUGUCUCUUAAAAAAAUAGGCAGAUCUGUUUUCUUCUUCCUCAUUUCUAUCUGAGCCUCUGUACCAAGGAGAAACGGGAAUAAGACAGGACUAGAUUCUUCCCAAACACCAGGUGAUGCGGUCAGUGAGGAGAGCUCCAGAAUCAAAAGAUGAAGAAGGACCUGCCUCUAGCCCCCAAGAGGUAUGCUGUUCUUCCCACACAUCUCAGCUCUCUCCCAGCACUGAGUCCAGCCCUCCACAGAAAGGGGAGGAAAAUGCCCACCCCUAGCCCUGCCCUUCCCCAACCCUCCACACAUCACUCCUUCUUCUUCCUGCCCUCCUGCACAGUCUGAUAAUGGUGCUCUCUCUUGCUCAGCCCUUUAGCCCUGCAGACCUAGGACAGGGCAUGACUUGGGAAGGCUCCUGUGCACAGGGUGCACUGGAGGAGGUGCCCCAGGCCCUGGGCCAUGGAGAUAAUUGUGUAUCUGCUUCUCUUUUACCUUUUGGGUGGGUAGCCUCUCCUUUUUUAAGGGACACUGACUUCAACCAUGUCUACUAAUCCCUCAGUAUGGCUCCCUGGGCACUCAAGAGCAACAGUUCCAGGCAGGGACCCCCACAUCCUACUCUAAUUACUACUGCAGACACAGAGGAGACCAAUUCCAUUCCUUCCCUGGCCUCUUGGAUUCUUUGUUUACUCACCUCUUUCCA